CCGACUGAGACGUGGCUCUAGCCACGUGAGGACCGGGCGGGCUUCAAUGGGCCCCAACAUGCUAAUCCUUGUUAGCCUAUCGCACGGCCUCCUUCGCGCUGGCUGCGGUGGGGAGCGUGCUGCCGGGACCCUGGCGCCGGCUGGGAGCCAGAGGCGACCUUGCCUUACUCCUGUCCCAUGGAGGGCGCGGCCACCCCAUGCCAGCACCAGAGAGGCAGAUUAGCCUUAGGAUGGAGCUCAAGGAUGAAUUCCGGGGACACCCGGGCAUAAGGACCAUGGCGUUAAGAUAGGGCGUCAGUCCGAGAAAACAGUGAAGGAAGGCAGUGUGGGGUGCUCAAAUGGACCAUAUGGUAUGAAGACGCGAGCCGUGGCGCCCACAGACAAUGGAAAGGAGAGGGGCCCAGGCAUCCUUGCAUUAUUUCUGAAGACUCAUUCUUACUCGUGGUAAAUAAUGCUUUGGAAACACCUCCACGCAGGCGUUAGUUUCCAUGGCCAGGAUUCUUCCCUGACGACACUUUUGGAAAUAGGCUGGCUGACAGGAAGGCUCAUGAAGAAGUUACUGAGGAUGCGUCCAUGGAGCCACAUAGGUUGCCAAGAGGUAUUGAACAUUCGAAGUUCUCCAAAACUGUCUUCUAACACCCAGACAUUGUUUAUAUUCGACCUUUCUGAUGGAGUUCUGCAAAAGUUUUCUUUCUACACUGCAGUCAACAUAACACUAUGACCAAAAGCAACUUGGGGGAGGAAAGGGUUUGUUUGGCUUACAUAUUCUGAGGCACAGUCCGUUGAGGGAAGUCAGG